CAAUAGCGUAUAUUAAAGUUGUUGCAGUUAAAAAGCUCGUAGUUGGAUUGUAGGUGUUUUGAUGUUGUGUGGGUUUUCUAAUGGAGACUGACAUGAAACAAAACCCUUUUUUGCAAUAUUCUAUUUCUGGCAUUGAGUUGUUUGGAGAUGUGAAUUUGCAUCGUUUACUGUGAAAAAAUUAGAGUGUUUAAAGCAGGCGUUGUGUUUUGAAUACAUUAGCAUGGAAUAAUAAGAUACGACUUUGGUGGUCUAUUUUGUUGGUUUGCACACCAGAGUAAUGAUUAAUAGGGACAGUUGGGGGGUAUUCAUAUUUGAGCGUCAGAGGUGAAAUUCUUGGAUCGCUGAAAGAUGAGCUUUGGCGAAAGCAUUUACCAUGGAUGUUUUCAUUAA
rnacentral:rRNA from 1 species